GCUAGGAUAGUUUAACUUGGUUAAAACUUUAAUCUCUAAGAUUAAGAAUGAAAGUUCGAUUCUAUCUCCUGGCU
rnacentral:tRNA from 1 species